ACCUCUCCCUGCCUUCCUCCUUCCACACAGACCAGCGCACCCGGGCUCGCUCAGCUAUGCAAGAGCGGCGCCCUCCCAGAGGUCAAGUUCCCCCUCCACCAGGCAGUAGGGACAGCCUGGCCUGGAGCGUGGCUGUUCUGCCUGGGGGACCCUGCGGAUAUUUUCCAUGCAGCCUGCCCCACUGUGGUCCCCCUAGACCUAGUCUCCUUGCCAAGCUUCCUUCUCGCACCCCCAGCCCGCCCCCUCGUCUCAUCUAACUCAGUCAUCUCUCCCUGUCUGUCCCCUGAAGCCCUGAGCUAGCCACUUCCUCCCCCACAACUACACCCAGGCGCGCAUCCCUCCCUGUCGCUAACUCCGGCUGGACUUGCCACAACUUUUGCUUUUAUAGCCCUCAGCCGCGUCACCGGGGUCAUUGCUCAACGGGACGAUUCCUCCACGGCCACCGGCAAAAAAGUCCCUCCCCGACCCUGCCCGGAGAGACUCCCGGGCGGUGCAUGGUCUCCCAGGCGGCCCCCACGCAAGGACCCCAGUGUAUCCCCGCUUCUCUUUAACAGUGCUUUUUGGGAUCGCGGACAGCGCUCAAGGCAUCCCCAGCCUGGCUCUUCUGGAAGCAAACCUGGUGAACUCCUGAGCCCUCCAGCAAGGCGGGCAGGGCCCGAAUGUCUGGAGAGGACUUUGGACCGUGUAGCGGGCACCUCCCUUGCUAGGGGGUGCAGGGUGAUGAGGAAGCUCUGGCCCCUGAGGUAGAGGAUGAAAAAGGACCCCGGUUCAAGUAACCAGAAUGGAAAAUGGCAUCUGACAGGAACUCCUGCCAGGAACCUCUCCCUGGUUAACACCCACACCCCAUACAAAACAACCCCUUGAAAGCAGGCCCCCUUGGCAACCGAGAAGAAGCUGGUGAAGACAUUUCGCCUGCGUCUGUGAGGUGGUAUCAGCAGGCAGGGCUGGGCCUGACAUGCACCCCUCCCUGUGCUUCUCGGAAAACUGGUGACUGUGUGUCAUCUGACCUUCAGCACAGAAGGUGGUGAUGUGGCAAGCCCAGGCUUGCUCCCUGGCGCCUGCUUAGCCCUGUUUCUCUGCCAGGGGAAGAUUCCGGCAGUGCGGCCUCCUCCAGGAUCUGCCCCAUCAGUCUCUUCCUGACUGUAUCUCCAGGGGUGGGUUGGGGUGGGGUGAUUUGGCCUGAAAGAACCGUGUGGAAAGAGGGAAUUGUCUGUCAAAAUGUUCUAGAAAGCUGGGCAGCUUAUGAAACCAAUGGAGGAGUCUUCACUGCUGCUUCACAGUACUGGGCAGUGGAGUCAGCCAGACCUUUCUUUAUCUCACCAGGCAUCUGAGAGGUGGGUCGUCCCCGCUGUAGUGCUGUUUCUGGGCCCCAGUUGAUGUCUUAACUUGCUUUUCUCUAUUUCAGGUCUCGAAAUCUCUCUAAUUCACACACAUCAUUCCCAAAUCCCAGAAACAAACUAUGGUAGAUUUUAUUUUUCAAAAAAGAGUGGGAUCCAUUCGCUUUUGAAGGCCAUGGUGGGAGGAUUGCCUAGAGGCCAGGAGUUCGAGACCAGCCUGGGAAACACAGCAAGACCCUGUCUCUACAAAAAAUGAAAGAAAAAAAAAAAAAAAAGCCAGGUGCACAUGACUGCCUGUAGUCUCAGCUACUGGGGAGACUGAGGCAGCAGGAUCCCUUGAGCCUAGGAUUUUGAGGCUGCAGUGAGCUAUGAUUGUGCCACUGCACUCCAGGCUGGCCAACAAGAGUGAGACCCUUUCUAAUACAUAUAUAUAUAUAGAUUUUUUUUUAAGUAGGGACAAUUACUGACAUACAAAACAUAGGAUUCUGUAAAGCAUAGGCUUCCCUGUCACAAAGGGAACCAAGUCUCCUUUGUGCCCUUGUAUCUGGAGCUGCCUUUGCCACCCUGGGUUUUCAAGGACAAAAGGGCACUGUUUCAGAGGGUCCUUAUGUAGAAGCUUUGCUGGCCUCCAAGUUCCACACAGCUCGUUUUUCUCGGGAAAGGAAUGUAUUUAAGGAGAGAUGAGCUGAGGGUAGACAACCACAUGGAUAUCUCUGUCCUGCCUUAAGGGGCCAAAGCUGUGCCCACAGUAAGGAGGGUACACAUUGGGCCUGGGUUCUGCUCUCUUCCUCUACAAAUAAGUCUAAAAAUACCUCUGCCCAGCUGGAGGGUGAGAGCAGGAAGGCCGGUGUCAGCAGAUUUCUCUAGAUCAAAACAAGUUGUUCCAGAAAACAGCAGCAAACAGAGGCCCUUGGAUUCCGGGGUGGAGCUGGGUGGUGAAGGGCCCGCCCUGCCUGUGUGGGUGGCCAACUCCUGCUUCUUCCCAGGCAGACAGAGGAACAGGAGGGGGCUGCUUUGGCAACAUCUGGAUUCCAGGGUUAGGGCCCUGUCUCCAAGCCCUUUCUUUCUUUUCUUUUUUUUUUUGAUGGAGUCUCACUCUGUUGCCCAGGCUGGAGUGCAGUGGUGUGAUCUCUGCUCACUGCACCCUCCCUCCUGGGUUCAAGUGAUUUUCCUGCCUCAGCCUCCCGAGUAGCUGGGACUAUAGGCUUACACCACCACAUUGGCUAAUUUUUUUUUUUUUUUUUUGUAUUUUUAGUAGAGACAGGGUUUUACCACAUUGGCCAGGCUGGUCUCCAACUCCUGACCUCAAGUGAUCCACCUGCCUUGACCUCCCAAAGUGCUGCGAUUACAGGGGUAGCCACCGCGCCUGGCCCCUGUCUCCAAGCCCUUUCUUGCGGCUAUUGCCAAUCAGGGUCACUGGUCUCCCGGGUGCCUGGAGCCCCACAUCUUGUUCUGAAGCCAGGUCAGCUCUGUGGUUUCCAAACAUAUAGACAGACCAGUCCCAGGAAGUACCCGGGAUUUCCCACAGGAGCCCCUGGAAAAGGGGAGCAGAAGCCGGCCAUGUGAAGACACAGACACUAAGGAAGAUGCCAGAUGACCACAUAGGCAGAGACUGGCUGUGCAGCCGCAAGCCAAUGAAUGCCUGAACGGCCAGCAAGGCACCAGAAGCUAGGAGCAGGCAAGGAAGGCCUCUCCUAUGGGUUGCAGAGGGAGCACGGCCCUGCUGAGCUGAAACCUGGAUUUUGGACUUGUAGCCCCC
rnacentral:lncRNA from 1 species